CUCAGAACACCAAUUGCGAAGGCAGGUUACUAAGUUACAACUGACGCUGAUGGACGAAAGCGUGGGGAGCGAACAGGAUUAGAUACCCUGGUAGUCCAUGCCGUAAACGUUGGGCACUAGGUGUGGGGACCAUUCCACGGUUUCCGCGCCGCAGCUAACGCAUUAAGUGCCCCGCCUGGGGAGUACGGCCGCAAGGUUAAAACUCAAAUGAAUUGACGGGGGCCCGCACAAGCGGUGGAGCAUGUGGUUUAAUUCGACGCAACGCGCAGAACCUUACCAUCCCUUGACAUGGCGUGUUAUCCGGAGAGAUCCGGGGUCCCCUUCGGGGGCGCGCACACAGG
rnacentral:rRNA from 1 species